GAGGCAGAUCAGGGCCUGGUUGUAUCUUUGGACUGUAACCUAUACAGGUGGGAUUAGAUUGCUAAGAAUACUUCCUGGGGGUUUUCUGGUGGGUCUUGGCUAUCUUCAGGUACCUUCUGCAUGGCUCUGGAAUUUCACUUAAACACAGGUACUGUGCCUGGCUCUCCAAAGUCACCCUUUUCUAUGGGAGAAGAGAAAUCUACCAGGGAGGGAGCCAGCCUUUUGAUUUUUUAAGCACAUGAAAAAUCCCCAUCUCCUUGUAGGCCUGAAGAGAAAUUCAGCAGGGCUGGCAUUUCCUACUUUCUGAACACACCACCCACCAACUUACCAAGGGUGCUGCAGUGAAGACGGGAAAAUAGCAGAUUGCAGUUGUCAUGGUGAUUAUAUCAAGCCACCACGCUCAGAAGAUGGUGGUGAGAAGCCAGGCACGGAGAUGGAAAAGACCCCCACGCAAUCCACAGUUCCCAGCUUUUAGUCCGGAGACUCCUCCCUCUUCUCACAAGAGUCCCCUUCUCCCUAGCGCUGCAACCAGGCAGGUGGAGAGGAUGAUAGGAGAAGGAACACAGAAGGGCAAGGGCUCAGACAGUUGCAUCUCACUCGCUCAGCAAAGCAGUGCCUGGGGGCCAGGAAGAUAAUUUAAAUAAACUCAAGAGACGAGAAAAGAAAUACACUCCUUGCCCCUGCUCAGAAGCAACAGGACUAAGCCAGCUUGUUUUGCCUCUAACCUUACAGGACCUAUGUUUUCCUUUGUCAUUUAUCUCCUUCCUGUGUUUGCCAACCACUGUGUACAAUUCUCUUGGCAUGUGCAUCCUCCUUCCAAGGGAAGCAAUCCUUGGCUAUAGUUAACUACUACGACACCCCAGACACCCCAGAGCUAUUAGCACCAUGCUGCCCCUUGCCCCCCAAAUGAGAGAACAGAAAAAUUCAUGAAAUCAAUAUUAGGUCAGUUAUCCUUUUCUGCUUAAUAUGUUUAAA